rnacentral:rRNA from 1 species
UACGUGGGGGGCAAGCGUUGUUCGGAAUUACUGGGCGUAAAUGGCUCGUAGGUGGCCAACUAAGUCAGACGUGAAAUCCCUCGGCUUAACCGGGGAACUGCGUCUGAUACUGGAUGGCUUGAGUUUGGGAGAGGGACGCGGAAUUCCAGGUGUAGCGGUGAAAUGCGUAGAUAUCUGGAGGAACACCGGUGGCGAAGGCGGCGUCCUGGACCAACACUGACACUGAGGAGCGAAAGCCAGGGGAGCAAACGGG